UGCCAGACUCCUACGGGAGGCAGCAGUGGGGAAUAUUGGGCAAUGGGCGCAAGCCUGACCCAGCAACGCCGCGUGAAGGAAGAAGGCCCUCGGGUUGUAAACUUCUUUUAACAGGGACGAAGAAAGUGACGGUACCUGUUGAAUAAGCCACGGCUAACUACGUGCCAGCAGCCGCGGUAAUACGUAGGUGGCAAGCGUUAUCCGGAUUUACUGAGUGUAAAGGGCGUGUAGGCGGGAGAGCAAGUCAGUCGUGAAAUUCCAGGGCUCAACCCUGGAACUGCGUUUGAAGCUGUUCUUCUUGAGUGAUGGAGAGGCAGGCGGAAUUCCGUGUGUAGCGGUGAAAUGCGUAGAUAUACGGAGGAACACCAGUGGCGAAGGCGGCCUGCUGGACAGUAACUGACGCUGAGGCGCGAAAGCGUGGGGAGCAAACAGGAUUAGAUACCCCUGUAUAC
rnacentral:rRNA from 1 species